rnacentral:rRNA from 1 species
AUCAAGCUACUAAGGGCUUACGGUGGAUGCCUUGGUGCCAGGAGUCGACGAAGGGCGUGACAGGCUGCGAUAAGCUUCGGGGAGCCGCUUAAUAGGCUUUGAUCCGGAGAUUCCCGAAUCGGGCAACCGAGCAGGUUAAUCCCUGCUACUCGUGUUUACACGAGGGACAACCAGGAGAAGUGAAACAUCUCAGUACCCUGAGGAAAAGAAAGAAAACCUCGAUUCCCCCAGUAGCGGCGAGCGAAAAGGGAACAGCCUAAACCCGGUAUAUGUUCAAGCCUGUAUGCGUUGUAUAUCGGGGGUUGCGGGGUUCGUUGGGUGUGGAUACAGACACGCCGGAAAGGACCGUGCUUCUAGUCUAACGUCUCUGGAAAGAGCGACCGAAGAGGGUAAAAGUCCCGUGGACGAAAGAAGUGGCGCCUUUCAGCGAGUACCCCAAGUACUACGGGAUAGACAAACCUGUAGGAAUCCAGGAGGACCACCUCCUAAGGCUAAAUACUCCCUGGCGACCGAUAGUGAACGAAGUACUGUGAAGGAAGUGGUGAAAAGUUCCCCCAUUAGGGAAGUGAAAAGCCCCUGAAACCGUAUAGCCUACAAGCUGUGGUAGUGCUAAGUCACGUAAGUGACACGCAUGACCGCGUGCCUUUUGCAUAAUGAGCCGGCGACUUACUCUGUGUAGCAAGAUUAAACAUCUCUGAUGUGGAGUCGUAGCGAAAGCGAGUCUGAAUAGGGCGUAUAGUUGCAUGGAGUAGACCCGAAACCAGGUGAUCUAUCCAUAGGCAAGGUGAAGCAUAUGUAAAAAUAUGUGGAGGCCUGAACCCACCAAUGCUGAAAAAUUGGGGGAUGACCCGUGGAUCGGAGUGAAAGGCUAAUCAAACCUGGUGAUAGCUGGUUCUCCCCGAAAUAGCUUUAGGGCUAGCCUUAUGUGUUCGGCAGUGGCGGUAGAGCUCUAAUUGGACUCGCGGCCCCACCAGGUUAGCAACUCCAGUUAAACUGCAAAUGCCAUUGUCCUAAGCAUGGGAGUCAGUCAGUAGGGGAUAAGCUCUAUUGACGAAAGGGAAACAGCCCAGACCACCAGCUAAGGUCCCUAAAUACACGCUAAGUGGUAAAGGAUGUUUUGUUGCUGAGACAGCCAGGAUGUUGGCGUAGAAGUGGCAAUCAUUUAAAGAGUGUGUAAUAACUCACUGGUUGAGCGACUUUGCACCGAAGAUUUCCGGGGCUAAGCGUGUUACCGAAGCUGUGGAUAUCCCGUAAGGGGUGUGGUAGGGGAGCGUUCUAUAGUAGGACUGAAGGAGAAUCGUAAGGCGCUCUGGACGAAUUAGAAGUGAUUAUGCCGGCAUGAGUAACGAUAAAACAAGUUAAAAGCUUGUUCGCCGAAAGCCUAAGGAUUCCUGAGCAAGGUAAAUCCUCUCAGGGUUAGUCGGAUCCUAAGCCGAGGCCGAAAGGCGUAGGCGAUGGGAAGCAGGCGUAAUAUUCCUGCACCACCAUGACACGGAUGAAACUAGGGGAGACGCAGACAAUACGGACUACCAGCUGAUGGAUAUGCUGGGUUAAGCCCGUCGGAGCGCACCAGGCAAAUCCGGUGCAAUAUGCUCCUCAGGGUGAACAGGAUUCCGUAAGGAUGCAAACUGUCCCGACUGUCUGCCAAGAAAAGAACCUCGAGUGGACAACUCAUGGUGACCGUACCGUAAACCGACACAGGUAGGCGAGGAGAGAAUCCUAAGGCGCUCGAGAGAACUCUCGC